rnacentral:rRNA from 1 species
UACGUAGGGGGCUAGCGUUGUCCGGAAUCACUGGGCGUAAAGGGCGCGUAGGUGGCCGAGCAAGGUCGCGGUGAAAGCCCGGGGCUUAACCCCGGGUCUGCAUUCGAUACGGGCAGGCUAGAGUUCGGUAGGGGAGAUCGGAAUUCCUGGUGUAGCGGUGAAAUUCGUAGAUAUUCGCAAGAACACCAGUGGCGAAGGCGGCUCACUGGCCCGAUACUGACGCUGAGGUGCGAAAGCGUGGGGAGCAAACAGG